rnacentral:RNase_P_RNA from 1 species
UGGAUAUAAAAGAUGACCGCGCGGUCCGGGCUCAUGACAGCCUGUGUCCGUGAGGGAAAGUCCGGGCUCCGCCGGAAGUGAUGCCGGGUAAUAACCGGGGGGCAGGUAAAACUGCCUACAGAAAGUACUACAGAAAAUAACCGCCUGCAUCUCCGUGCGGGUAAGGGUGAAAAGGCAGGGUAAGAGCCUACCGCGCCCCUGGUAACAGGGACGGCACAAGCAAACCUCAUCAGGAGCAAGAUUAUGCAGCGGCUUGGCGUUCCGGCCUUAUGCCGCGGGUGAAUCGCUGGAGCUUCCCGGCAACGGGUGGCGCAGAUAGAUGGUCAUCGAGUCCAAAACCCGGCUUAUUUUAUAUCCUUUUU